ACAUCCCACCACGCCAGGCUGCCCAAGAGGUCAAAUCUCCAAGCCAGAUUGCUGGAUUAAGAAAAGCAAACAGAGGAAGAGGAGCUUAAGUCUCCCCUUGAGUACGGGCUGGACUGUGUGACUUGCUUCUAACAAGCAGAGUGAGGGAAGGGAAAAACUGUGAUGUUACAGUUGGGAAACCUGGUGGGCGGCCCGUGGCACAGGGCGGCAGGUCACCAUCACCUGAGCGUACUCCUCCCCGCACCUGCCAGCCCGGUCUAACCAUGAGGAAAGUUAGUCCCAGACAGAGGGGCAUUCUACGCAAUACCUGACCAGUGCUCCUCAAGACUGUCAAGGUCAUGA